GAACAGUGCUACUAGUAUUCCAGUGACAGAGUGAAUGUGGCAAUGCAAGGCCUGCCCUUCAGUUUUUCAAAAUAAACGCAGAGUUCAAGCGCAUUACAACCAUGCCUCUACAGUCAAGGUUUCUGUCGCAGCUUGACUUUCUGUCUGAAAGUCUGCUGAGAGUGUUUGCAAAGCCAUCGGGGAAGCAGGGCAAAAUGUUGAAAGACAUGACAGACAUGAUGAUGGAUGACGUGGAUGCUAGAAGGGAGUCCCUCAUUAAAAAGGACUUUGCCUCUAUUUGAAGGAGAAUCCUGACAUCUUGGUGCACGAGUACAUGGACAUGACUGAUGUCUCCACUCUCAGUGCCAUUGAGAAAACAACAGUGGGAGUCUAUGUUGCCAGGGAGACACCAGGCAAGGACUUUCCUGAUGUUGGCAUCAUCAUCGAAGGUGUGGUGAUACUUCAGGACCUGGAUAAUGUGGCCCUUGCAACAGCCAUGCUGUUUGGACUUUUUUACUGCUUCAACAUGAGUUACCUGGCACAGCUCCCCUACACUUUUGAGGUGAUUCAAAAGGUGGUCAUGGAAUUGGAUCCGACUGAACUCUCGAGAAAAGCCCAAAACUUAAAGACAAAACUUCAAUAAGGAGAGAUCAUUGUUGUGCACGUCACAUGUUUAACUAAAGGUAAGAGGACAUUUAUAGUUCACAUACGCCCUCUUGCAUUUUGGACAUUGAAUUUGUAGGUGAAUGAUCAGCAACCCAAAAACGAUCACAUUGUUCAGUGUAGUGUUUAUUCUGUGGGAUGGUUAUAACUGUUUACCUGCCAUGGAAACGUAGUGCCAUUUUUUUCUGUUUAAUUGGUAUGGUUCUUCAAUU